rnacentral:rRNA from 1 species
UACAGAGGGUGCGAGCGUUAAUCGGAAUUACUGGGCGUAAAGCGCGCGUAGGCGGCUUUUCAAGUCGAUUGUGAAAUCCCCGGGCUUAACCUGGGAACUGCAGUCGAGACUGUCUAGCUAGAGUAUGGGAGAGGGAAGUGGAAUUUCAGGUGUAGCGGUGAAAUGCGUAGAUAUCUGAAGGAACAUCAGUGGCGAAGGCGCUGCUCUGGGCCGGUACUGACGCUGAGGAGCGAAAGCGUGGGUAGCAAACAGG